CCUCAAUUUCCUAGAGAGCAAGGUGGGCCUCCCUCAGCCCUCUUCUGCCUCGGUGCUGUCUCAGCCUUGGUUCACAGCCCAGCCCAGGCGCAGAGGGGCAGAAAGGGAGAGAGUGCCCAGGGGCAGCCGCAAGCUAAGGCAGGGAGAACCCACGGCCCCCUGUUCAGCCUUCCUGCUCCUGCCCUGGGCAGCGCUGAGCCUCCACACAGGUGUGCACGAGAACAGCAGGAGAGGCACUUCAGGACAGCUCUGCUGCUCUGCUCAGGGCUGGGCGCCACGUGUUCCUACAGACUGGGACCUGGGUGCUCCCUGUGCCUCACACACGCACACACGCGUGUGCCCCACACCUUCACACACCAGCAUUCCUCCUCCCAGCUCUCCCCGCACACGCAGGCUCUGCCGGCGCGUGCACCACAAAUGCACACGCAGGCUCGCACGCGCGUGGGCCGCGUUGAGACCCGGGCCCUUGCACACACGCAGAGACCCCGCCACCGAGGAUGGACUCAACUGCGGAGAGUCCGGGCCACAGGCACACAAACGUCCACUGUCACGGCGCGACACCGCAGAAACGCCAGGAUGGUGGCUAACGCCGGUGUCCCUGACAGGCAACUGUCAGCCCCAGAUCUGCUUCGACCACCACGGUGCGCACCAACGCUCGGGGGCUGUGAGCGCGCAGAGGAGCCUGGGGGCGCCGCUCGAGAGUAAGGAGCCUCUGCUCCGGCGCUGCUGGCCCUGGCCUCCAUGGAGCUGGCUUCCGGAUCCAGCACUCCGGUUGCCCACAGCCCUUGCCCUCUCGCGUGCUUGCAUCCCUUUCUCCGGAAAGGCACUCAGGGGCGCACACGCUCCCCUAUGGGCGGCCGUGGGGAUAGCCCUGAGGGGGAAGCAGGGAGCUCCCACUCCCCCCGGGAGCGCAGAAUGGGGCUGGCGGGUCCGGAGGCUGCCCCCUCGCUUUAUCCCUGUCUUCUCUAGAGGAGCCUUCCAAAGGCAUCCCCGGGGAGCCAGGUGCGGGACGCUGGCCGGCUUGCUGCAAGGCCCCGGAGUCUCGCGGGGGCCUGGCGGAGACUUCCGGGCGCCUCAGGCCUCCCUGGGUUCAGCCCACAGAGGUGCCUGCAGCCCUCAAAGAGGACGGUUAGGUUGGAAGAUAAAGGUGACAAGACCGCCCCUAGCUGGACGGAGGAAGGAACACGAAAGGGAGGCUGUGGCCACUUCCCUCUGCUCUCAAUCCCGGGCUCCUCCCCUCUCUGGAAGGGUCCAGUGUGGACAUCCCGUCUCAAAAGCCCAAGCUGCAUCCACACCCUGGAAACAGACACCCCUGGGCCCUCCCAGAGAGACGGGCACAGGCUCCCAGGGCAGGCCUGCACCUGCUGUGGUGGAAAUCCUGGGUCCCAGUCCUGUGAAUGGUCUGGAAGAGGGCAGAUGGCUGGCCCCUAUGGCCAUCAGAGGGCC
rnacentral:lncRNA from 1 species